GGGGCUCUAGCUCAUAUGGUAGAGCGUUCGCUUCGCAUCGAUGCGACCAGGAAUCUGCGAGAGGCACAGGGUUCGAUUCCCUGGUGCUCCA
rfam:Puccinia sorghi strain RO10H11247 Scaffold_327, whole genome shotgun sequence.